rnacentral:snoRNA from 1 species
GUCGACGUACUUCAUAGGAUCAUUUCUAUAGGUCACGUCCCACUUUGACUCUUCUAAAGAGCCACUGAAUCCAACUUGGUUGAUGAGUGAGAUACCCUUGUGCCCUCAAAGUGAGAAUAGAUUUAGCUUGUCCACGAUCCUUUGCGGUCUGGUCAUCUACAAUUUGUUUGCCUUUCACUUUAUCGCAAUGCCUUGUGCAGCGCGUUUUCGAAAGGAGCGAUGAUCUUGACCCUCUUCUAAAUGCUCUCUCGGGAGUCUUAGUUGGGGGUGGGCACAAGUGGCUGUCUGACAAGU